rnacentral:rRNA from 1 species
UGGGGAAUAUUGGACAAUGGGCGAAAGCCUGAUCCAGCCAUGCCGCGUGUGUGAAGAAGGUCUUCGGAUUGUAAAGCACUUUAAGUUGGGAGGAAGGGCAGUAAGCGAAUACCUUGCUGUUUUGACGUUACCGACAGAAUAAGCACCGGCUAACUCUGUGCCAGCAGCCGCGGUAAUACAGAGGGUGCAAGCGUUAAUCGGAAUUACUGGGCGUAAAGCGCGCGUAGGUGGUUCGUUAAGUUGAAUGUGAAAGCCCCGGGCUCAACCUGGGAACUGCAUCCAAAACUGGCGAGCUAGAGUAGGGCAGAGGGUGGUGGAAUUUCCUGUGUAGCGGAGAAAUGCGUAGAUAUAGGAAGGAACACCAGUGGCGAAGGCGACCACCUGGGCUCAUACUGACACUGAGAUGCGAAAGCGUGGGGAGCAAACAGG